rnacentral:lncRNA from 1 species
UAAAGAUUGAGAGGUAAUAUAGGUUUUAUACAACUUUGCUUUCUCUAUACACAUUACCAUAUGGACCACGAUAUAUUAACAACCAGAUUUUAACAACAUUUUGACAAUGACCACAUCUCAAAAUCUUAUUGGACCGUUGCAACAUAAUUUUUUUUUUUUUGUGCUGGCUUACGUGCAAAAAGGUGUUCCCAAAAUACCCUUAUCCUUGUGGAAAGUUUUUCAUUCUCUCUCUGGUCCACUUUGCUUUCUUUUUCUUUUAUCUCUCAUGAGCCUAAAACCCUUCUUAGUCCUUUCUCUCUCACGAACAAAAGCAUGUUGUCUCUUCAUACUCUUUGUGUUGUGGUUCAAGCUCCCUCCUUUUCCUUGUUCAAGCUUGAAGAUCUCUUCUUUCUCUCGUUGAAGCUCUCUCCCUUCUAUCGUUGAUGUUCUUUCCCUUCUCUCGUUGAAGUUCUCGUCUUUCUCAGUUCAUUUUCUUGUGGGAACAACAUCAAUUUUGAGUACAUGAACAACAUCUUAUUCCAUUUCAAUUUUGAGAAAAAAGGCCAUAUUGGUAAUAGAAGCCAGAUAGGUUAUGUCCAAAAAAUGAAAAAAUGAAAAAAUUGGGUAAUAGGACCAUCAUUACACUUAAACACCACUCAUUCACAUUGAACUUACUCACCCAUCCCAAAAAAUGGAAAAUUGAUCCAAAAAAUAAAAAAAACCUUCAUGGCAGUGUUGUUGUUCCAGUUUGGGAGUCACGUUGAACUUUCUAUACAAAUGGUACUCAGGCCCCUGGUAAUCGAUUACAUGACUCCUGUAAUCAAUUAUCGGGCCUUCAAAAAGGGAACAAUGGUCAUGCACCUCACCUCAAUUGGAGCAAACCACCUAAAUGGACAUUUUUUUGAAAAAAUAAUGGCCUAACCCAUAAUUGGUGCAAGGAACACACCCAAUAGCAUUGAACUCACUCACUCAUUUCAAAAAAUGGAAAGAUUAAAUAAAAAUAGAGCAAAAACCAUCAUAGGGAGUGUUGUUGUUCCAACUGGAGAGUGACGUUUAACUUUUUGUACAAACGGCCCUCAAGCCCCUAGUAAUCAAUUACAUGACCCCUAUGAUUAUCAGGCCUUCAAUAAGGGAACAAUGGUCAUGCACCUCACCUCAGUUGGAGCAAACCAGAUAAAUAGACAUUUUUUAAAAAAAAAUUAAUGGCCUAACCUCUUCAUUGGUGCAGGGACACACCCAAUAACAUUGAACUCACUCACUCUUCUCAAAAAAUGAAAAAAUUCAACCAAAAAUAGAGCAAAAACCAUGAUGGGAAGUGAUGUUGUUCCAAUUGGGGAGUCACGUUAAACUUUCUGUACAUAUGGCCCUCAAGCCCCUGGCAAUCGAUUACAUUAGCUUUGUAAUCGAUUACUAAGCUUUCAAAAAGGGAACAAAGGGCAUCCACCUCAUCUCAAUUGGAACAAACCAUCUAAAUGGGCAUUUUUUAAAGAAAUCAAUGGCCUAACCUCAUCAAUUGUGUAGGGAACACACCUAAUAGCAUUGAACUCACUCACUGUUCUCAAAAAAUGGAAAACUUCAACAAAUAUAGAGCAAAACCCAUCAAAGGGAGUGAUGUUGCUUCAGUUGGGGAGUCACAUUAAACUUUAUGUACAAAUGACCCUCAUGCCCCUGGUAAUCGAUUACAUGAUCCUUGUAAUCGAUUAUCGGGCAUGAGAAAGGCAUCAAAGGUCAUGGACCUGACCUUAGUUGGAGUAAACCACCUAAAUAGAAAUUUUUGUCAACAAAUCAAUGGACUAACCUCAUUAUUGGUGCUUGGAACACACCCAUUAACAUUCAAUUCACUCACCCUUGUUAUAAAAUGGAAAAAAUGACCAACAACAAAGGCAAAACCUUCAUGGGAAGUCUUGUUCAUCCAGUUGGGGAGUGACGUUGAACUUUCUAUAUAAAUGGCCCUCAGGCUACUUGUAAUGGAUUACAAGACCUCUGUAAUCGAUUACCAAGGCAUCUGAAAGGCAUCAAUGAUCAUUUCCUUGACCUCAGUUCGUGCAAAGCACCUAAAUGGCCAUUUUACUCAAUAAUUUAAGCCCCAAACGUGUUCAUUGAUGAAGUAAACAAUAAUCAUGACUUAGGAACUCAAUCAUCCAUCAGAAAAAGUGCAAAAAGUAACCUAAAAACACAGAUAAAGUAAAUCAAAUUUUAAAUUUUAGUCAUCAAAAUUGGAAUUUUAUUGAAAUAAUAUCUGACAAGUACAUAUUACCCAACAUGACCUUUUGUAUACUAAAAAGUUAUACAAGGCAAGUUAUACAAGACUAAAAAAAUCAAAAUCUUUAGACAACAUAUAAUUCAAAUCCUAUAAUACUAAUUCUUGCAACAGUUGGAAUCUUUGAACGUUAUCGUUGUCUAGAAUCCACUCACAUACAUAUUUUUGCCUAAAUCCGAACAACUUCUUCUGAAAUCAACACAUCGAACUUUAGAAAUUAACACAACACCACAAUUUAGUGAUUAAUCCACACUCAUUUCACGAAAUCCAUUUUCUUUACACAACUUAGACAUUAACAAAAACAUUAUUAGUAACAACAUGCACAAACCUUUAUUUCAUGGUGCUACCAACCUCCACAAUGUGAAAACCCCAAACCUUGGAGAAAGGACACACCUUUAAUCUUAGAUGGACAACAGGACAAAUAAGGAGAGACAAAAUGCAACGUCGGGGAAGGAAAAAUGCCGCCAACAAAAACAGAUAUAAAGGAGGGAGAGAGGGAUAUAUGCCAGCUACGAUCGUGCUUAUCAAACCAACUUCACCGUCGAUGGACAGAGGAAGAGCGAGAUAGAGAGAGACUCAGGAUUUCAGUGGAGAGACAUUGAGAAAUGGUGGAGAGAGGGUGAAGCAAUGAUGCUUUUCAAGAGACCAAGGAGAAACGUGUAAGGUUCCCUGAAAUGAAAAUUCAAAGAGCUUUUUUUCUUGCAAAACAUCUCUCAACAACAAAUUUCACCUUUUUUCAAAAAAAGUAUUAAACGAACCAAUCAACAAAAGUUACAAAUAAUUUGG